GACGUAGGGGACGAGCGUUGUCCGGAUUCAUUGGGCGUAAAGCGCGCGUAGGCGGCCACGCAAGUCGGGUGUGAAAUCCCGGAGCUCAACUCCGGAACUGCACUCGAAACUGCGCGGCUUGAGGUAGGUAGGGGAGAUCGGAAUUCCUGGUGUAGCGGUGGAAUGCGCAGAUAUCAGGAGGAACACCGGUGGCGAAGGCGGAUCUCUGGGCCUUACCUGACGCUGAGGUGCGAAAGCGUGGGGAGCAAACAGG
rnacentral:rRNA from 1 species